UUAAAAUAUACAAAAUAUUUUGAAAUUGGAAAAUUGGAAAAUUUGAGAGAAUUAAAAAUUUUAAAGGAUUUCAAGAUUUCCAAUAUUCCAAUUUACAUUUAUUAAUAUUUCAUAUUUCUCGUCACACGUUGUAGAUAACAUACGCGUGCAAGUCACGGUCAAAGCGAAAUCACGCGAUCGCGCGAGUGCACCCGAUAAUAAAGACGGCGACGUCUUGAAUAACCUAGAUGUGGAAUAACCAAUGGGAAGAACGUACUGAAAUGGCAAAAAAUUAUGGCUGCUCUUCGCUUUGGGAUACUAAAAAAUACAAAUCUUUUCCUUCUUUUUUCCCUCAAUACACGACAAUUAGGAAGCAAAUUUUCGUGAAAUCGCCAUAUUCUCUAUUUACGGUAGUUUUCAACCACGCGUUUCUCUUUUAACUUGGACUUGUUCGCAAUUGAUAUAAAAGGACGAGUAAUUGAUUAUAAAUACGUGUAAUUUUUCACAUUAAAUCAAUGAAAUGGAAAAUUUUUAUGUGAUGGUUAAUGACAUGUUCAAUUAAUUUGAUCAGUCGAUACUUGGAAGAAGCGCCAACUUCACGGAUGUAUUUUCGAAAGGCAAUAUCGAUCGGUCGUCGCGUAUUUUUAUUUCCGUGCAAAUGUCAAGCGAUGCUUCGUUGUUACACUUAAUAAAUAAGUGUUGUUCAAAAAUACCAGUAAUGUGAAUUAAUAAAAAUACAAACGAAAGAUUAUAAAAAAAAAA